UACGUAGGGGGCUAGCGUUGUCCGGAAUUACUGGGCGUAAAGCGUGCGCAGGCGGUCUGUUAAGACCGAUGUGAAAUCCCCGGGCUUAACCUGGGAACUGCAUUGGUGACUGGCAGGCUUUGAGUGUGGCAGAGGGAGGUAGAAUUCCACGUGUAGCAGUGAAAUGCGUAGAGAUGUGGAGGAAUACCGAUGGCGAAGGCAGCCUCCUGGGCCAACACUGACGCUCAUGCACGAAAGCGUGGGGAGCAAACAGG
rnacentral:rRNA from 1 species